CGCGGCGGACGGGUGAGUAAUGCCUAGGAAUCUGCCCGAUAGUGGGGGACAACGUUUCGAAAGGAACGCUAAUACCGCAUACGUCCUACGGGAGAAAGUGGGGGAUCUUCGGACCUCACGCUAUCGGAUGAGCCUAGGUCGGAUUAGCUAGUUGGUGAGGUAAUGGCUCACCAAGGCGACGAUCCGUAACUGGUCUGAGAGGAUGAUCAGUCACACUGGAACUGAGACACGGUCCAGACACCUACGGGAGGCAGCAGUGGGGAAUAUUGGACAAUGGGCGAAAGCCUGAUCCAGCCAUGCCGCGUGUGUGAAGAAGGUCUUCGGAUUGUAAAGCACUUUAAGCUGGGAGGAAGGGCAGUAAGUUAAUACCUUGCUGUUUUGACGUUACCAGCAGAAUAAGCACCGGCUAACUUCGUGCCAGCAGCCGCGGUAAUACGAAGGGUGCAAGCGUUAAUCGGAAUUACUGGGCGUAAAGCGCGCGUAGGUGGUUCAGCAAGUUGGAUGUGAAAGCCCCGGGCUCAACCUGGGAACUGCAUCCAAAACUACUGGGCUAGAGUAUGGUAGAGGGUGGUGGAAUUUCCUGUGUAGCGGUGAAAUGCGUAGAUAUAGGAAGGAACACCAGUGGCGAAGGCGACCACCUGGACUAAUACUGACACUGAGGUGCGAAAGCGUGGGGAGCAAACAGGAUUAGAUACCCUGGUAGUCCACGCCGUAAACGAUGUCAACUAGUUGUUGGGUUCCUUGAGGACUUAGUAACGAAGCUAACGCGAUAAGUUGACCGCCUGGGGAGUACGGCCGCAAGGUUAAAACUCAAAAUGAAUUGACGGGGGCCCGCACAAGCGGUGGAGCAUGUGGUUUAAUUCGAAG
rnacentral:rRNA from 1 species